rnacentral:rRNA from 1 species
CCUACGGGCGGCAGCAGUGAGGAAUAUUGGUCAAUGGCCGGAAGGCUGAACCAGCCAUGCCGCGUGAAGGUCAGUGCCCUAUGGGCGUUAAACUUCUUUUGUGCGGGAGCAAUAAUGGUCACGUGUGGCCAGACGAGAGUACCGUACGAAUAAGCAUCGGCUAACUCCGUGCCAGCAGCCGCGGUAAGACGGGGGAUGCAAGCGUUAUCCGGAUUUAUUGGGUUUAAAGGGUGCGUAGGCUGUGAGGUAAGUCAGCGGUGAAAUGCCCCCGCUUAACGGGGUGAAGUGCCAUUGAUACUGCCUGGCUGGAAUGCGGAUGCCGUGGGAGGAAUGUGUGGUGUAGCGGUGAAAUGCAUAGAUAUCACACAGAACACCGAUUGCGAAGGCAUCUCACGAAUCCGCGAUUGACGCUGAUGCACGAAAGCGUGGGUAUCAAACAGGAUUAGAUACCCUAGUAGUC